AGAACAGGUCGGGCGGUCGCUGCUGGCGUUUCUCGGGUUUGAUUUCAGAUUUGGGAUAACCGCCAGGAGAGGAAAGUCCGAACACUAAAGGGCAGCGAGCCCGCUAACGGCGGGGCGUUCCAAGUCAAUCUCAGAUUGAAAUUUCAGGUCUGAGAUUUUGGAGCGACGACAAGUGCAACAGAGAACAGACCAGCCUGCUUGCAAGCCACCGGUGGACACCGCUUCGGCGGUGUGGAGGCCGCAAAGCUGAGGCAGGUGAUGGGUGAAACGGCGCGGUCCGCAAGGGCUUAAUGUAAGAGCGCACCGGCGCGCGUGGUGACAUGCGCGGCUAGGCAAACUCCUCGCAGUGCAAGACCAAAUAGGGAGGCGUCAAAAAGGGCUGCCCGCCCGAAGCAGUAAAGCUGCUACGACCUCCGGGUAGGUCGCUCGAUCCGGCUGGCAACAGUUGGACUAGAUGAAUGAUCGCUACUCCGAUCUCAGCUGAGAUCGGAGUACAGAAUUCGGCUUACAGACCUGUUCUUAUG
rnacentral:RNase_P_RNA from 1 species